CCUAGAGUAGUAUAAUGGCCUUAUAACCUACCACCUUUUUUUGUUUUUUAAUUACAUUGAUCAUUACACAGUAAAGUUGAGCAUGUAUGUACAUUACAGCUCAGCAGUAUAUAUCUGAGUGAAACUCUUCCACUUGUGAACUUUGAGACAUGUACAAGCUUGUUUGGAUAUUGUUGUUGUUAAGUAGCAAACAAAAAAAGAGAGAGAAGGAGGAGAAAGAGAGAAAGAAGGACAGGGGAGGAGGAAGGAAAGGGGACCACCCAAAUGUCCAUUAGCAGUAAAAUGGUUAAGCAAAUAGUGGCAUACCCAAGUAAUGAUGGAGCAGUGAAAAUGUUUCAACUACGGUAAUUAGUGUGGAUGAAUCUCAAAAACAUAAAGUUGGAUAAAGAAAGCAACUCACAAAAGAAUACAAGCAGUAAGAUUCCUGUACGAAAAGUUCCAAAACAGAAAAAAUAUGUUCGAAGGUAGUAAAAUUUAAAGAAAAGCAAGGGAGUGAUUAUUAUGAAAGCAGGAUAGUUGUUAACUCAGUGAAUUGAUGCUUCAUUGUAAAUUUAACUUGUAUUUCCUUGAUUACUAAUGAGACUGACUAUCUUGUCAUUCAGGUUUCCUCUUUUGUCAGGUACUUUUCCAAGUAGUUUUUUCAUUUUUUAUUUGAGUUGUUUGUCUUUUUCUUAUUGUGUCUAUGUAUUUAGGAAUUAUUUGUCAGGUAUAUUUGUCCUUUGGCUUUUAAUUUUAGUUUUUCAAUCCUGUCUUUGAAGAAAAGUUCUUAAUUUUAAUGUAAUUGAAUUUAUCACUGUUUUUCUGCUUUAUCUUUUACUCCUUUGUGGUCUGUGACACAGUGGUUAGUAUGAUCUUUUAAGGCACAAAUCAGAAUUUAUCAUUCCCCAGCUUAAAAGCCUCAAUUGCUUUUCAUUGCUCUUAGAAUGAAAUCUGAUUUUACCAAAGUCUAAAAGAACCAGAAGGAUCUGCACCCUGCCUGCCUCUCUGACCUUGUUUCUUACUACUUGUCCUAUUCAUUUUAUUUCAGCCACACUGACCUUCUUUCUGCCACUGUUCUUUGUCUGGAAUAGUCUCCCUCGAGAUAUUUGCAUGUCUGGCUUGUCAACAUUUGAGUCUCAGCUAAAGUAUGUCCUCUUAGAUUGGCCUUCUCUGAUCACUACAUCUAAAUAGCUCCCUCCCCUCCAAAUGCUGUCUCUCCUUUACCCUCUUUAAUUUGUCACUCUUUCAUAAUCCUAUAUUUUCUUAGAAAUUUGUUUAUUCUGUCCCCCCAUUAAAAUAUCUUCAUGAGAAGAAGGAUUUUACCACUUUUGUUCAUUUUCUAUCUCCUGUGCCUUGAACUGUCUCUAGCAAUAACAUAGACACUCAAUAAUAAAUAAACUAUGAAUGAAGGCUGUCCCAAGACUAUUUUUAAAAAGUAAUCUAACUCUACCUGGAUCAUUCUUUUGAAUAUUUAUCAGAAAGGGAAAGACACAUGGCUCUUCCCAAGGUGUUGAUCUCUAAUCGUGUCACUUUUCUCUUCUUUGAAAAUUUCAUACCUUCCUUUACCUCCCCAAACCUCUCUUUCCCAACACUAUUCUUUAUCCCUUCAUGCUCGUUAAAUGACCUUGUGUCAUAGUUCAGAGGAAAUAGAAGCUAUCAGAUGAGAAUUAUCUCAAAUUUCUACCACCAGUUCUAUAAACCACCUUCCUUCUUCAUCCAUCUUCUCUUUCCCUCCUCUAACUAUAGAAGUAGUUCCCUCUGAUCAAAGGAAGGUCUCUCUGUCUGUGAUCUGGAUUCCAUUUACUUCCGCUUUCCAUUGAUAUUUACACAUACUGAAUUUUCUCCUAUUAGACAAGUAAAGGUGUCUCUGGGUCCUUUCUCUUUCCUGCUAUGCCCUUUCACUCUCAUCUCCCAUUUGCUCCUUAGUCCUCUUCACUGUACAGCUCUUACUAGUGUCAAAAUUGAACUUUAUAAAUCAUACAGACAGAAAAUCAAUAAGGAAAUAUUGGUCUUAAAUGACACAUUAGACCAGAUGGACUUAAUAGAUAUAUGCAGAGCAUUCUAUCCCCAAACAGCAGAAUACACAUUCUUUUCAAGUCGGUCGGAACAUUUUCCAGGAUAGAGCAUGUGUUAGGCCACAAAACAAGUCUCAGUAAAUUGAAGAAGAUUGAAAUCAUAUUAAACAUCUUUUCUGACCACCAUGGUAUGAGACUAGAAAUCAACUACAAGAAGAAAACUGGAAAAAACAAAACAUGGAGUCUAAACAACAUGCUGCUCAACAACCAGUGUGUCAUUGAAGAAAUCAAAGAGCAAGUAAAUGAUACAUGUCUACCUAAGGAAGUAAGAAAAAUCUCAGAUAAACAGUCUAAUCUUACAACUAAAGGAACUAGAAAAGGAAGAACGAACAAAACCCAAAGUUAGUAGAAGGAAGGAAAUCGUAAAGAUCAGAGCAGAAAUAAAUAGAAACUGAAAAAAUACCAUAGAAAAGAUCAAUGAAACUAAGAGCUGGUUCUUUGAAAAGGUAAUUGAUAAACCUUUAGCCAGACUCGUCUAGAAAAAAAGAGAGAGGCCCCAAAUAAGUAAAAUCAGAAAUGAAAGAGAAGUUAUGUCUGACACCUCAGAAAUGCAAAUAUUGUGAUAUUACUAUGAACAAUUAGAUGCCAGCAAAUUAUACAACCUAAAAGAAAUAGAUAAAUUCCUAGAAACAUACAGUCUUCUAAGACUGAAUCAGGAAGAAAUAGAACAUCUGAACAGACUGAUUACUAAUAAUAAAUUGACUCAGUAGUCAAAAAACUCCCAAGAAACAAAAGUCUAGGACCAGAUGGUUCCACAGGUGAAUUCUGCCACACAUUUAAAGAAUUAAUACCUGUACUUCUCAAACUAUUUCAAAAAAUUGAAGAGGAAGGAAUGCUUCCAAACUCAUAUUAUGAGGCCGACAUUACCCUGAUACCAAAACCAGACAAAGACACUACAAAAAGAGAAAAUUAUAGGCCAAUAUCCCUGAUGAAUGUAGAUGCAAAAAUCCUCAGCAAAAUAUUAGCAGACUAAAAUCAACAAUGCAUUAAAAGGAUCAUACACCAUGAUUAAGUGGGAUUUUUCCUAGGCAUGCAAGGAUGGUCAGUAUGCACACAUUAAUCAUUGUGAUAUGCCACAUAAACAAAGCAAAGAAUAAAAAUUGUAUGAUUAUUUCAAUAGAUGCAGAAAUAGCUUUUGACAAAAUUCAACAUCCAUUUAUGGUAAAAAUUCUCAACAACGUGGGUAUAGAGAGAACCUACCUCAACAUAGUAAAGGCUGUAUAUGACAAACCCACAGCUAAUAUCAUAUUCGAUGGUGUAAAGCUGAAAGCAUUUCUUCUAAGAUCAGGAACAAGACAAGGAUGCUCACUCUCACUACUUUUAUUAUAUUGGAAGUCCUAACACAGCAAUUAGUAGGAAAAAUAAAAGCCAGCCUGAUUGGAAAGGAGUAAGUAAAACUGUCACUGUUUACUGAUGACAUGAUACUUUAUACUAAAUAUAUAUAUAUACUUUUUAUUUUAUAUAUAUUGUUUAUAUAUAUAUAUACACACACACUAAAAACUCCACCAAAAACUAUUAGGAUAAAUGAAUUCAGUGAAGUUUCAGGAUACAAAAUUAAUAUACAGAAAUCUGUUGGGUUUCUAUACACUAAUAACGAUCUAUCAGAAAGAGAAAUUAAGAAAACCCUCCCAUUACAAUUGCAUCAAAAACAAUAAAAUACAUAGGAAUAAAUUUAACCAAGGAGAUGAAAGACCUAUACUCUGAAAGCUAUAAGACAUGGAUGAAAGAAACCGAAGACAAAUAAAUGGAAAGAUGUAUUGUGCUCACGAAUUAAUACUGUUAAAAUGUCCGUACUACCCAAAGCAAUCUACAGAUUCAGUGCAACCCCUAUGAAAGUACCAUUGGUAUUUUUCACAAAACUAGAACAAAUAAUCCUAAAAUUUGUAUAGAACCAUAAAAGACCCAAAAUAGCCAAGCAAUCUUGAGAGAGAAGAAAGCUGGAGGUAUCAGAUUUCCAGAUGUCAAACUGUACUACAAAGCUAUAAUAAUCAAAACAUUAUGAUACUGGCACAAAAACAAAUGCAGAGAUAAUGUAACAGAAUAGAAAGCCCAGAAAUAAACCCACAAAUAUAUCGUCAAUUAAUCUACAACAAAGGAGGCAAGAAUAUUCAGUGGGGAAAAGACAGCUGUUUCAAUAAAUGUAUUCGGAAGACUGGACAGCUCUAGGCAAAAGAAUGAAACUGGACUACUUUCUUUCGGUAUGUGUAAAAAUAACUCAAAAUGGAUUAAAGACUUAAACGUAAGACCUGAAACCAUAAAACUCCUAGAAGAAAACUUAGGCAGUAAACUUUUGACAUCAGUCUUAAUAAUUUUUUGGAUCUGUCUCCUCAGGCAAGGGCAACAAAAGCAAAAUAAACAAAUGAGACUACGUCACACUAAAAAGCUUUUACACAGCAAAGGAAACCAUCAGCAAAAUGAAAAGGCAAUCUACCAAAUGGGAGAAUAUACUUGCAAAUGAUAUAUCUGAUAAAGG
rnacentral:lncRNA from 1 species